UACGUAGGGGGCGAGCGUUGUCCGGAUUUAUUGGGCGUAAAGAGCGUGUAGGCGGCCAGGUAGGUCUGCUGUGAAAACUCCAGGCUCAACCUGGAGACGCCACUCGAGACUGCUAUGGCUAGAGUCCGGUAGGGGACCACGGAAUUCCUGGUGUAGCGGUGAAAUGCGCAGAUAUCAGGAGGAACACCGGUGGCGAAGGCGGUGGUCUGGGCCGGCACUGACGCUGAGGAGCGAAAGCGUGGGGAGCAAACAGG
rnacentral:rRNA from 1 species